CUUCAACGACCCGAGCCACAUGGGCCGUUCGGCAGCACGCUGCCCAUAGGUGGCCAACAGCGCCUGAGCCUC
rnacentral:antisense_RNA from 1 species